rnacentral:rRNA from 1 species
CAGCAGUGGGGAAUCUUGCACAAUGGGGGAAACCCUGAUGCAGCGACGCCGCGUGAGCGAUGAAGCCCUUCGGGGUGUAAAGCUCUUUCGGCAGGGAAGAUGAUGACGGUACCUGCAGAAGCAGCUGCGGCUAACUACGUGCCAGCAGCCGCGGUAAUACGUAGGCAGCAAGCGUUGUUCGGAGUUACUGGGCGUAAAGGGUGUGUAGGCGGUUUGGUAAGUCUGGUGUGAAAUCUCCCGGCUCAACUGGGAGGGUGCGCCGGAAACUGCCGGACUCGAGUGCGGGAGAGGAGAGUGGAAUUCCUGGUGUAGCGGUGAAAUGCGUAGAUAUCAGGAGGAACACCGGUGGUGUAGACGGCUCUCUGGACCGUAACUGACGCUGAAACACGAAAGCGUGGGUAGCAAACAGGAUUAGA